rnacentral:rRNA from 1 species
UACGUAGGGGCAAGCGUUGUCCGGAAUUAUUGGGCGUAAAGCGCGCGCAGGCGGUCCUUUAAGUCUGAUGUGAAAGCCCACGGCUUAACCGUGGAGGGUCAUUGGAAACUGAGGGACUUGAGUACAGAAGAGGAGAGUGGAAUUCCACGUGUAGCGGUGAAAUGCGUAGAGAUGUGGAGGAACACCAGUGGCGAAGGCGAUUCUCUGGACUGUAACUGACGCUGAGGCUCGAAAGCGUUGGGAGCAAACAGGAUUAGAUACCCCGGUAGU